rnacentral:tRNA from 1 species
GUAGACAUGACUCAAGCAGUACAGUACCUACCUGGAAAAUAGGAGGUUCUGAGUUCAAACCUCAGUAUCAUCA